GAAAGUUUUCAAACAUUUUUAAUCAACAUUCUGACCAAACAAGAUGAUAAUCCCAAAUGUAUACUAUACACUUUCCUGAAAGAUAGUUUGUAUGUUGUAUAUGAUAUUUAAUACAAUUUUUAGUACAAAUGUGUCAGCAUUCUUAAAGCAAUAAUACUUUGAUUACAUGCACAACAGAAUCAAACUUUUAAAACACCCACACACAAACACACAAUCUCUGCAUUAUCCACACACACACACACUUCAGGUUAAUUUAUGACUUCCUAUCCGUGCAAACAUUUUUCAAUGCAGGUUCUAACGUUGUAAUAUUGACAUUCAAGUUUGUUUUUUUUUCAUGACUUUUUGAUGGCAGUCUAAUGCACAAAGUAGAAAUCUAAGUUAUAAAACAAGUUUUAGUUUCUUGCAUACUAACCAAUUCCAACAUCUAUCAUUGUAACAAAUCCCAACACUAGAAGUAAACUUCUAACUAUUGAUCAGUUCAAAGAGAGUGUAUAAUCCAUCCACCAAUCAAAAGCUCCUAUUUCAAACUUCUGGCACAUCUACUUAAAUGAAGAUAAGAAAUGAAACCACCAGGCAGGUCAAUCAUUAACUACUGACAGCCCAUGAGAAUUUUAAUUCUUUUUGUACCAACCAACAACCUCACAAUUUUUUAAACUCACAGAAAAAAAGAUUUAAGUCAUUAGGUAUGAUAUGACCAAUCUAAUGAUGUGCCUGAUAAACAGUCUAAAACAAUUGAGAAAAGAAGUGUAGUGUGCCGUCAGUUCUGUAGUUUGACUUGACACACCACACUUCACACAUCAGUCUCCAACAAGAUAGUUAUAAACUUUGCAUGAACAUUAGCGUAUUCUGCGUCACACUUUCACAGUACAUACAUUUGUUGACUACAGCAUGUCGGUGAUGAGCAAUGCAAAGUUAGAGAGCGAAAAAUAAAUAUAAUCAAUCCAAUAACCUGGUCAAUAUUAGAAUAUAAAUUUAUAUAAUCAGUCCAAUAACCUGGUCACUGUUAAAAUAUAAAUUUAUAUAAUCAAUCCAAUAACCUGGUCAAUGUUAGAAUAUAAAUUUAUAUAAUAAAUCCAAUAACCUGGUCAAUGUUAGAAUAUAAAUUUA